rnacentral:rRNA from 1 species
GAUGAACGCUGGUGGCGUGCCUAAUACAUGCAAGUCGAGCGAACGGACGAGAAGCUUGCUUCUCUGAUGCUAGCGGCGGACGGGUGAGUAACACGUGGAUAACCUACCUAUAAGACUGGGAUAACUUCGGGAAACCGGAGCUAAUACCGGAUAAUAUUUUGAACCGCAUGGUUCAAAAGUGAAAGACGGUCUUGCUGUCACUUAUAGAUGGAUCCGCGCUGCAUUAGCUAGUUGGUAAGGUAACGGCUUACCAAGGCAACGAUGCAUAGCCGACCUGAGAGGGUGAUCGGCCACACUGGAACUGAGACACGGUCCAGACUCCUACGGGAGGCAGCAGUAGGGAAUCUUCCGCAAUGGGCGAAAGCCUGACGGAGCAACGCCGCGUGAGUGAUGAAGGUCUUCGGAUCGUAAAACUCUGUUAUUAGGGAAGAACAUAUGUGUAAGUAACUGUGCACAUCUUGACGGUACCUAAUCAGAAAGCCACGGCUAACUACGUG